rnacentral:rRNA from 1 species
AUGUCGCCGCCGCCGACAAGCACCUGUGCGCGUCCGCCUCGCCGUGGAUCCGCCGGGAAGAGGGAGGGCGCCUCCCGUCGCAGCCGCCGGAAGUCCACCGUCGGCCCUGCCUCUCCUCAUCUCUGCACUGCGCCUCUCCGGAGCGGAAGGGUCACGACGCGCAGGAGCUCGUCCUCGCCGGAGUUCGAAGUAGUCGAGCAGUGCGUCUGGGUCGCAGGUCCCCGCGGUGGUGUUGCUGCUGCCCGCAGGCACGGCGGCCUCGUCCUCGACGUCCCGCUGCGCGGCGACCUGGUGCAGCACGAUGGUCUCUUCGGCGACGGCCCAGAGAAACACGACGGUCUCGUCCGUGAUAUCCUGGUGCAGCGGCGGCCUCGUCCACGGUGUCCAGCUGCAGCACGGUGGCCUCGUCCGCGACUUCCCGGAGCAGCACGACGGCCUCGUCCGCGACCGCCCGGAGCAGCACGCGGCCUCAUUCGCGGCGUCCUGCUGCACGGCAUCCGGAGCAACAUCGGCGGGGAUCUGCGGUGCCACAGCAGGGCCACCACUAACCGCAUCCACCAGCGGCGUUCGAAUCGUCACCACCAGCGGUAUAGCCCACUAACCGAAUUCGGACGGGAAUGGGACGACGGCGAGCGAAGGUGGCCGGAGGUGGGGGUGCAGGCAAGCUGGGCGGCGCUGUGGAGCUCAUCCAUCCAUGGCGCCGGGAAAAGGAGGCCUUUAGGCGGCGGCGGCUUGCAGGAUCAAAGGGAGGAGCGAGGCCACCCGCUGGAUUGGAUUGCGUUUUUCUUUUUGAUCCAGGGGGUUGUAUGUCAAUGUUUUGCCAAGUCAGCUCCUUACAGUCUGGGUCCACUUGUCAGAAAACGACUAAAUGGCCUAAAUCUUCCAAUCAGUGCUUUCUGCAAAGAGAUUACUGAGAACGCGAUGAUUUUGGACAAAAUUAGGGACUAG